CACGUAGGGGGCGAGCGUUGUUCGGAAUUACUGGGCGUAAAGGGCAUGUAGGCGGUUCUGUAAGCCUGACGUGAAAGGCUAUGGCUCAACCAUGGCAUUGCGUUGGGAACUGCGGGACUUGAGUCACGGAGAGGGAGCUGGAAUUCCAGGUGUAGGGGUGAAAUCUGUAGAUAUCUGGAAGAACACCAGUGGCGAAGGCGAGCUCCUGGCCGAUGACUGACGCUGAGGUGCGAAAGUGUGGGGAUCAAACAGG
rnacentral:rRNA from 1 species